CGUAGCUCAGUGGUAGAGCAAUCGGCUGUUAACCGAUUGGUCGUAGGUUCGAGCCCUACCG
rnacentral:tRNA from 1 species